rnacentral:rRNA from 1 species
UACAGAGGUCUCAAGCGUUGUUCGGAUUCAUUGGGCGUAAAGGGUGCGUAGGCGGCGCGGUAAGUCGGGUGUGAAAUCUCGGAGCUUAACUCCGAAACUGCAUUCGAUACUGCCGUGCUUGAGGACUGGAGAGGAGACUGGAAUUACGGUGUAGCGGUGAAAUGCGUAGAUAUCGUAAGGAAGACCAGUGCGAAGGCGGGUCUCGUGGACAGUUCCUGACGCUGAGGCACGAAGGCCAGGGGGGAGCAAACGGG